ACAGUGCACGGUGCGCGAGAAAGAUUUCAGCGGCCGCGUUUACGCCUCACUGCAAACCGAGCUGCUCUGACGGUGUUUUUCGAAGAAAAAACUUUCCUCAAAACAGAAUAUUUAUAACUUCUUAACACACUCACUUUUAAUUACAAUUUGGAAACAAAUAACAUUACUUUUAAUUACAAUUUGGAAACAAAUAACAUUACAGAAUAUGAUAAUACGAUAUAAUAUAAUAUAAUUGUAUGAUACUAAUAGCUUUUAAUAAUAGUAUUGCAUGUGGUAUUUCGCAAAUCGCAAAUCGCAAAUCUGGCACUGGCAUCGCGAUUUGCUCCACAGUUCCCAUCAAUCGAUCGUAAUCGACAACACACUUCGGUUUUUUAAUCAUUUUUUGCGUGAAAUAAUGACGUUUCGUGUCAACCAAUUCUUCAUUGUAGAAAGAGGACAACAUAUACACUGCCCUCUUGUUACAACAUUUUAGGAGAAUGAACAAUACUCGACGUAUGUACAAUACGAGGCAUCUUACGCAGAGCAACUAUAGUCGUCCGUAGUAAGUCAGUGGCAUCUGACGCAGAGCGACUGUAGUCGCUCGUAGUAGCGAAAGCGUUAAAGCUUCCCGAAUAGUUUGUUUUAGGUCGAUACGGGCAAUGAUCUAAGAAGAUAGUGGGACACCGACACUCGAAGUCGUUACUCGAGUGUUGUUCCAUCUGUGUACCAAUUUCUCUACCAAUCUAUCGUAUUACGGAGGAAAGAAUCAGGCAAAGUGAAAACACAUUCUGUUGGAUAUGAAAUAAUUAUAUUACUUUCGAAAACAAGUUGUCGAUCAAACGCAUCGAUAUGAUGUUAAAUAAAGCCAAUUGGGUACGAAAGAUGGGACAGAAAAUAGGACUAAUAUAAAAUCUAGAAGGAAGUAAUAAAUUACCAGGUAGAAAAUGGUGACACUUUUCACUUUUCAGAAAUACUGUGACACUUGUUAAACAAGCUGUAGUGUGUAGUGUUUUGGAAAUGCCUCAAUAUCAGUUGCAAGCAUAUGUUAUAAAAAAGCAGGUUCAUAUUUAAAAAUGUUAAUAUGACCUUCACAGGACCGUUUCAAUGUCAUUGCAAAUAUACAAGGAUAUAGUAUGCCACUCUCGAUAUCAUACCUAAACUUUAUGUCUGAAACAUUUCAUUCAUUUCGGAGUAUUUCAGUGUUUCGAGUUAAAUCAGUCAUAUUGCACAAGUUUGAAUUAAUUAUUAGCAUAAUAUUUAUAUCUUUCAUUAUAAACAUUUCUAAUAUAUCAGAAAAGAAAACGAAAUAUUCAUAUUCCUUUAUUCUUACUUAAAAUCUGAAUAGAAACUUUUUCUUAUUAAAGGUUUUUUAAUAUUAUAUUAAAGAUACUAACUGUGAAAAAUAAAAUGUUCAUAUUCACCCGAUCAUUGUCACUCAUACAAACCAAAUAAAUAAAUGAUAUUAAACGAACUUACUGCUGGAAUUGGCCAAGCUAAAUUUAAACAUAUACACAUUUAAUUUUUAAAUCUGACCCAUCAACGUGUGAUUGUCGAAGCAUCAUGAAACACAUUUACUUAAAUUAUCCUAAUAAUAAGUAUAUAAAGUUUCGAACUGAAUUCCGAAUUCCUUCUCCACUGAAACAUAAUUUUCUACGACAUUUAAUCUCCAUACUAUUUUCAUCCAUCAUGCACGUAAUCGACGUGACAUUAACACUGCCGCUCGCAUAAAUUUACUAGUAACCUUAACCAGUAACCGACGUUUUCUAGUAAAAAAUUUCAAGUUCGUAGACUUCAGAUAUCUUGCGCGUGACACCAACGUGGUUUCACCACGUAGCUGUUCUGCACUUGAUAUCACAUUGGUGCCACAGGACAUGAAAGUGCUAAAAUUUAUUUAACAAAGCUAUUAAUAUAUUCUAUCUAUGUGAUCUAACAAUUUACUAAAUAAAUUAAUUAUAUCUACGCUUACAUUC